rnacentral:rRNA from 1 species
CCUACGGGUGGCAGCAGUCGAGAAUCAUUCACAAUGGGGGAAACCCUGAUGCUGCGACGCCGCGUGGGGGAAUGAAGGUCUUCGGAUUGUAAGCCCCUGCCAUGUGGGAGCAAAUGAAAAAGAUAGUACCACAAGAGGAAGAGACGGCUAACUCUGUGCCAGCAGCCGCGGUAAUACAGAGGUCUCAAGCGUUAUGCGGAAUGACUGGGCGUAAAGCGUGCGUAGGCUGUUUCGUAAGUCGUGUGUGAAAGGCGCGGGCUCAACCCGCGGACGGCACAUGAUACUGCGAGACUAGAGUAAUGGAGGGGGAACCGGAAUUCCAGGUGUAGCAGUGAAAUGCGUAGAUAUCGGGAGGAACACUCGUGGCGAAGGCGGGUUCCUGGAC